rnacentral:misc_RNA from 1 species
ACGUCUGUGUGCGCUCCGCAGUUAUAAAUAUGUAUUUUCGACUAAUAUUGUUCGAAUUCUGCAAAGUGAAGAGAUGAAUAAGUUUACGCUCUUUCUGGUGUUCCUCUGCGGAGCAGUUUUCGCCGUUUUGGUGUCUCUCAUGCACAGUUCAUGGCGGUUUUAUGCUUCGUCUGAGGUGGCCAUGGCCUCGUCCCUCGGGGCCAUUCCAGCUGGUUCGGAUUUGGAGCUCAUGGAUGACGGGUAUGUGGCCAUGGCCCUCCUGGGGGCACACGACGAGGACCAGGCUGUGUCCAAGAAACAGACCACGGAGCUGGAAGACAGACAUGCAGAGAUAGAGGCAUUAAAUACAUUAAAAGCAGCACAGGAAUUAGUUCACUCAGGAAAGAGUGUCAGAGCUGGCCGACUACUGGAGCAUGCCAUUUCAUUGGCGCCGCGGCACCCAGAUGUCCUCAUACAUUAUGGAGAGUAUCUGGAGCAUCAUCGCAAUGACAUUGUACAGGCGGACAAACUGUACUUGAGAGCUUUGGCUGUCUCUCCUGCGAAUUCUAGGGCAUUACGAAAUCGGCGGAGAACUAGGCCCAUUGUUGAUGAAAUGGAUGCCGGGAUUUUUAGUCGCAUCGAUGGUAAAAGGGAUGACCUGGCUCAAAUCCCAAGUUCCUCGGCUUCCCUGAGACGCAUCAAAAAGGAAGCAUACUUCCAGUACAUUUACCACACAGCCGGUAUUGAGGGAAACACCAUGACCCUGUCUCAGACUCGGAUGAUUUUGGAGACUAGGCUCAGCGUUGGAGGGAAGAGUGUAAUGGAACACAAUGAGAUCUUGGGCCUGGACCUUGCUCUCAAGUAUAUCAAUAUGACAUUGGUGCAUCGAGUGGGCCGUAUAACGCUGCACGACAUUCUGGAAAUUCACCGCAGAGUAUUGGGUCAUGUUGAUCCCAUUCAAGCUGGACAAAUGAGAACAACUCAGGUUUAUGUAAGUGAUCAUGUGCCACCUCCACCAACACACUUGCAAGUUCUUAUGGAGGACUUUGUGCAAUGGCUGAACUCGCCUCAAGCCCAGAGACUCCAUCCAAUCAAAUAUGCAGCUCUUGCCCACUACAAAUUGGUGUUUAUUCACCCAUUUGCUGAUGGAAAUGGAAGAACAGCAAGACUAUUAAUGAAUUUUCUAUUAAUGCAGGCUGGCUACCCACCAGUAAUAAUCCGUAAGCAAGACAGACUCAUGUAUUACGACUGCCUUCAAACGGCUAAUGAAGGCGACACUCGGCCUUUCAUCAGGUUCGUUGCACAUUGUACAGAGAAGACAUUAGAUGUUUAUUUGUGGGCCACUAAGGAAACCUUACCCAAAAUAGGCCAGGAACAUGAGACCAAAGGUGGAGUGAAGAACUUGAAAAGAGACCACCAUCAGGAGAAGGAUUAUGAAAUGUCUGAUAUAAAAUCCAAUGUUGACAAUGAGGAAGUAAAGAAGUUCUCCUUUGAAUCAGUUGAAGAUAUUCCUCCAUGGCAUGUGGAAGAUGAUGACUUUAAAGAGGAAGGCCAGUUCAGUGGAGGUCAGAACUAUAUACCCACUUAUGUUGAAGACGAUAUACUUAAGGAAGAUUCUAGUCACAGGUCAGAAAAUAGCAUUGAUUAUGAACAUGGCAAUAACUUGUGGUUUGCCAGUGAAGAAGACCACGGAACAGUGAGUGGAACGAGAAGAUAUGGGAGAGUGCUAAGUGAGGAAACUUUGUUUGAAGAAGUGACUAUAGAGGAUAAAACGAAAGGCAAAGCUCUUCACCUUGAAGACGAAGAGGACACUAUAUCACGUGGUCUUUAGAAGAAAUAUAUUUAUGAAUUGAACAGUUCAGAUUUUAAGUAUAUAUUUAAAAUUAUACACCCCACAAGUUGCACAAUGUACAUAUAAAAAGUGACAAUAAUACAAACAAUUAUUUAUUUACGAGAAAUCUUUGCAAGCUAUAUCGUUGAUCACCGGUACUGUAACACAUAAAUCGUAGUAUGUUUGAGUGCACAAGUUUGAAUAACUCAUAUUUGUUAUUAAACUAUUACCUUUUUUAUGUUAAGGUUGUAUAUAUUAUACAGCAAUACUUAUAUUUUUGAGCAUUUAUGAGGAAUAUAUUUAUUUAAAUGGUGUGUUGUAUAGAUAGACUCUUCGGAAAGAGAAUAAAUUUUGAUAUUAGUAAACUAAGAUUUUUUUUUUUUUUUAAUAUAUAUAUCAUACUAGUGCUCAACAACUAUAUGAUGACAAUGGAGUAAAUGCACAAGCAGUAUUUUACCCCAAGUUCCUUUAAGUUUUUUGUACUUUUAUUUUGUAUAUAAUUAUUUUGAUUUUUCUUUGUAUAGUGAUAUAUUUUAUUUGAAAGAUUAUGUACAUUUUUAAGUGCUUGAAAUUUGGGUCCACUGUCUUCUAAUACAGAAGUAUAUAUAUAUAUUUAUUUUAUAUUGUAUCUCUUCUCUAAUAUUUAGAUGAGUUUAACGAGUCUCCAUGUGUAAAUGUUAAUCAUUAGAUACCGGUUUAUAUAAUUUUAAAAACUUGGUAGGGCAUUUCUGAAUUUUUGAUGAUGAGGAUCAGCAUUUCAGUGCUGAUUAGAGAUAAUAAGUACGGGAAAUAGUUAUAUGUGGAAUUAUGUUUCUACAUUGGUUGAAAAAAGAAAAAACAGAUGUGAGUUGUGUGGCCAUUUUAUUUAAAAAGUCAAGGUGGGCAACCUUAUAUUACCCCCUUUCUUAUUUAUCAUCAUGUCCUUCAUCUUUUAUUUUAUUAUAGAAUAUGAUUACUUAAAUUCAUGAUUAUCUUGAAAAAUUAGAGCCAAAUCUAAAUAUUGAAAGCAAAUUUGUCAGUCUAUAGACAGCACAUCAAAACACUAACAAAUCAGUCUUUGACCAUAGCAUAUGAACCAGACUUUAUUUCUGUCCUUUAUGAAAAUUACCCUUUCAGUCUUAAUUUCAUACCUUUAACCCACUCACGCCAGGGCGAUUCCGGCUUUGCAUGGUCGUAAUGCCAGGGUUUUCGAAAGCAUAAGCCUAAUGCCUCGAGACUCUCGGGCGCACAAGCGUGAAUGGGUUAAGAAAGAAAUAGUUUAUAAUUUGAAAUAUUCUGAAGCAAUACUCGGAGAUUCCUCUUUUUAUUUUUGAUAAAUGAUAGCAAGAUUCUGUUAGUAUUGCCAAUUGCUAAGGAAAAGUUGUGGGUCAGUGGUCAGUUUAAGAAUACCAAAAUUUGAGGGUUGCUUAGCAUAUGGGUAACAGAUAAGGCUUAAUUUGAGUAUUAAUGAUAUAACCAAAAAUGUUUUGUAUUUACCCAAAGAUAUUUAUCCAUGUCACCUCUUGGGUAGUAGUUAAGAAAACAAAAGUUGAUCGUGAAAGUGUAGAAAAAGAGGAAAAAAAAAUUGGUAAUUAUUCAGUUUCUAUAACUGCCAUACACAAACCAAACAGCCCUUUUAGUAGAUAGUAUUAUAAAACGAAAUACUAUGUGAGAAAGAUGGUAGAAUGCAGUAAAAUUUUUUUUUUAAGAAAUGCUCUGUAAUGAGACUCGAGGUAAUGAUAAAGGUAUAUUUAUCUUUUGGCUUGAUCUGUUCAUGGGCAUUGAGUUAAAUUGGGUGCUACCUUAUAGUUUAUGAUUUUGUAUAACAGUGUAAGCAUGAUCUUCAGUCUGAUAUAUUAUCAGUUUAGAACAUGUUCUAAAUUCACAGAAAGAAUAAACUUGCUAUUAGUGAUAAUACUUGAAGGAUGUGUGCUUUGGAAAUAAAAAAGCUGGUACUUGACUACUUUUUAUUUUAUUUUCUGUAAUGCAUUAAACAUGCAUUAAAAGUUUAUAUAUCAUGUAAAGCACGUUCUUCCAUAUUUAUUAAAACCAAAGACUAGGAAGGAAUUUAAUAGUAAUUUUAUUUUACCAAUAUACAUUAUACAAGCAUGUGUAUUUAAGACUAUUUUCUUUCAUUGCCUAAGGGUUUGAUGUUUAUCAGUCAUAGUAUAAUCUUUGUAAAAUGCAGAAAUGUGUAUAAAUAAUAAUAAUAAUAAUAAUGAUAACUAGUUAUGGUAAAUGAUGAAAAAAAUUGAGUAGAGGGUCACUUGUUAAUGUAAUAAACACACAAGAAAAUAUCUUGCAUGCAUAUAGCAAUGGAAGGGGAAUAGGACUUCUGUAUAUGAUUUUUAAAUUUAUUAUCCAUUAACUUUAUUUCAUUAUAUUUUAAAAUCUAAGGGGAGAUGAAAAUAAAUUAAAUGUAAAAAAUAUCCUUUAUUACAAAUACUACAUAUAUACAUAAACACACAACUCACUAUUACCUGUAAAUAGGGAAUGUGCCUUUUAUAAAAGAAGAAAAAAAAAGAAUUGAACAAUGAAAAAAAAAUCCUGUUCUCACUGGUACUGUACAGUCUGCAAUCUUUGGCCCUGUGAUAUCCAAAGUAACUAGCAAUAGAGCUUAAAUAAUAAAUUAACUCAAUAUUUGGAGGCUUUGUAAACUAAGUUGCAUUGUGUUCAUCUUAGUUGAUUUGAUCUGUCAUAAAUAUUUGUAAUAAAACUAUUUACAAUGCAUGUAUUCUGACAUGAGGAUAUUAAAAACCAUUGUUGAUAUUUCUUGUACACAUUAUGAUAAAGAAAUACAUUAGCAAUACAAAUAAUCAAGUCAUUCUCUCUAACUGUAAAACAAACAAUAAAAUCCAAUAAUACAUUAAAAUAAUAAAAUUACCGUACCAUUAUAGAAUAAGUCAAGGUACAUUUAUUGUACUUGGACAAGUAGACAAAUUCAAGUAAAACCUGUACAUUAUAAAACCUAUAUAUCACUAAAAUACAGAUGCACACAGGCUUUCUCUUCAGUGUCACAAAUUAUUGGUAAGCCAAAAGGAGACAACAUUAGUAAACAUUGUAACAUUACAAAAAUAUCUAUGGUGAUAUACUUUUAGAUUUUUUAAUGAAGAUGGACAACCUUUCAAUAAGUAAUAAUCUGGCUUUUUCUUAAUCAACUUCCAUUUUACCUUCUAUUUUGCUUUUCUGAUCUUUGUUGUUCUUGGCUGAAAGGCAUUUUCGAAUUUCUAAUCCAAUUGCACGGGCCAUUGGUGGAGGAACAGCAUUUCCGACCUGAGAAAUGGUAUUAUUUUCUAAUUAAGGUAUGAGAAGAAUGGACUUUCAUAGUAUAUGAUAGGUUUCAAGGUUUACCUCAAUAUAACAUUAUCUUACUAAACAUUGCAUUUAUAUGUUCUCUCUCUGUUUAUACACAUUUUAAAAGUAAAUAUAAAAUGCACACAAA